rnacentral:rRNA from 1 species
UACGUAGGGGGCAAGCGUUGUCCGGAAUCAUUGGGCGUAAAGCGCGUGUAGGCGGCCCGAUAAGUCCGCUGUGAAAGUCCAGGGCUCAACCCUGGAAUGCCGGUGGAUACUGUCGGGCUCGAGUCCGGAAGAGGCGAGUGGAAUUCCUGGUGUAGCGGUGAAAUGCACAGAUAUCAGGAGGAACACCAAUGGCGAAGGCAGCUCGCUGGGACGGUACUGACGCUGAGACGCGAAAGCGUGGGGAGCAAACAGG